AGCGGCGGAUGGGUGAGUAACACGUGGGGAACCUGCCCCUAAGUCUGGGAUACCAUUUGGAGACAGGUGCUAAUACCGGAUAAUAAAGCAGAUCGCAUGAUCAGCUUUUGAAAGGCGGCGUAAGCUGUCGCUAAGGGAUGGCCCCGCGGUGCAUUAGCUAGUUGGUAAGGUAACGGCUUACCAAGGCGACGAUGCAUAGCCGAGUUGAGAGACUGAUCGGCCACAUUGGGACUGAGACACGGCCCAAACUCCUACGGGAGGCAGCAGUAGGGAAUCUUCCACAAUGGACGCAAGUCUGAUGGAGCAACGCCGCGUGAGUGAAGAAGGUUUUCGGAUCGUAAAGCUCUGUUGUUGGUGAAGAAGGAUAGAGGUAGUAACUGGCCUUUAUUUGACGGUAAUCAACCAGAAGGUCACGGCUAACUACGUGCCAGCAGCCGCGGUAAUACGUAGGUGGCAAGCGUUGUCCGGAUUUAUUGGGCGUAAAGCGAGCGCAGGCGGAAAAAUAAGUCUAAUGUGAAAGCCCUCGGCUUAACCGAGGAACUGCAUCGGAAACUGUUUUUCUUGAGUGCAGAAGAGGAGAGUGGAACUCCAUGUGUAGCGGUGGAAUGCGUAGAUAUAUGGAAGAACACCAGUGGCGAAGGCGGCUCUCUGGUCUGCAACUGACGCUGAGGCUCGAAAGCAUGGGUAGCGAACAGGAUUAGAUACCCUGGUAGUCCAUGCCGUAAACGAUGAGUGCUAAGUGU
rnacentral:rRNA from 1 species